rnacentral:lncRNA from 1 species
AACCCCUUACCCCAAGACCCUCAUAAUACACCCAUUCCUGCUGGAAGCAGACAGCAAGCCCUAGCAAGUUACUUUCCUUUCUUUUACCAUGAAGAUCUCACUCAAGACCAGCAAGAAAUUACAACUCUGAAGGUGUUGAUCAGAAUUACGGAAACCAUGUGCUCUGCCCAGUUCCACCUUGCAAAGCUAAGCAUCUAUAGCAGGUCACCCAGGGCUUCUCUAUCCAGUCUCUAUGUGGCCUGGAAGUCACAGACAAGUUUUCUUCUUUGUUCACAAGACUUCAGAUCAACAGGAACAAUACCCAGGAGCUUUUUUUGUUUGUUGAGUUUUUUGUUUGCUUUGUUUUGUUUUGUUUCGAGAUAAGGUACAUAGGUCUGACUGUCCUGGAACUCACUGUAUAGAUCAGGCUGACCUCAUUCACAGAAAUCCACCUGCCUCUGCCUCCCAAGUAGAAGGACUAGAGGCAUGUGCCACUACACCUGGUCCCAGAAGCAGGGUUUUUUUUUGUUGUUGUUGUUUUUGUUUUUUUUAAGGAUCUCACAACAACACCUCAUCCACAUCUGUGUAGCCAAUUGUAGCCAUUUCCUCCUGGAGGAAAGAGGGGGACUCAUAACAUUUAGGAAGUAACAGAAACUACUAGAGUUGCAAGGCUCUGUCCUCAAGAUUGUAAGAGCAGUAAACAAUUUCUUGGGAGAGGAGAUCUUUCUGGCAGCCAAGUCAUCUGCAAGUUAUGGGAGAAGCCCCAUGAGGAGAAGCCAAGCUGAGGUAAGCUACGCUCCUGCUCUGAGUCACCUCCUUUAGGUAACCUCUUA